GGCCCAGUGGCGGAUGGUCCGCGUCUGCACAAAUUACCAACUCACUCUCAAAUGCAUUCAUACAGAUACCGCUCGUUCGACUCGAGCCUGGGCCA